UACGUAGGGAGCAAGCGUUGUCCGGAAUCAUUGGGCGUAAAGCGCGCGUAGGCGGCCUCAUAAGUCCGUUGUGAAAGUCAAAGGCUCAACCUUUGAAAGCCGAUGGAUACUGUGAGGCUAGAGUCCGGAAGAGGCGAGUGGAAUUCCUGGUGUAGCGGUGGAAUGCGCAGAUAUCAGGAGGAACACCAAUAGCGAAGGCAGCUCGCUGGGACGGUACUGACGCUAAGGCGCGAAAGUGUGGGGAGCGAACAGG
rnacentral:rRNA from 1 species